rnacentral:lncRNA from 1 species
AUUCUGAAUGCUUGUUGGUCUAAACUGUGGAAGGAUUGCAUAAAUGAAUUUACCCAGCAUAAACUCCCAGAGGUCAAAGAGAUAAUAGAUGUUGCAAAACAUCUGGAUGGUGAAGAUUUAGUAGCUAUAAAGGAUGACUACAUAGAGCAACUGGUACAGUCACAUAACAAGAAGUUGACUGAAGAGAAAUUGGAGGAACUAAUCAGAUCUUGUGAGAAAGGGGAUGACACCGAAAUGGACAAAGUGUGAAGAGUAAAAUGACUCCUCCUAACCUAAACAAAAGACUGCUAAUGGCAAAUAAUCUUGCAGAAUUUUUUCUUGAAAUUGAUCCCAAUAUGGAACAGACUAUAAAAUUAAAAUUUGGUUAGGAAGAUUUGUUAGCUCCAUAUAAAUAGUAAUAAUAAGAGUUUUAGAAGAAAAUGAAGCAAAUCUCUUUUCUGAGCUACUUAAAGCAAUCAUUUGAUAAGUAUAACUGCCCUCCCAGUCCAUCAGCACCGAUGGCUAGAUAUCUGUUUCAGCCAAAUUAUUUUAAUUUAAAUAUAUGUAAAUCAUUUUCUACAGAUUAUUCUUUGUUUAAGUAUUUUUUUUUAUAUUUAAAGAUUAUUAUCUGUAAUAAAAAGUAUUGUAAAUGUUUGAUUUUCU